GAAUACAGACCUAUAAGAGGUUCGAUGAUCAAGUAAGUGGUAUCAGUUAGUUGUUUUCUCGAGCCUGAAGAGCACCGUCCCUUAAACGCCUGACCGGUUUCACUAUACACGAGCUGAAACAAUGAAGACAUUCCUGAUAUUACUGGCAUGCGUCUGUCUGUCGCACAGUGAGCCAGCGAAAAAAGAGACUCGUACCCGGCAAGUUGAGUACAAAUACCAGUACGCUGGCGAGCCAGAGUUAGCGAGUCCUGUUUCCUACGCAGAGGCUGCUCCCGUUUUAGCAUCAGGUCCGCUCUCUCAUGGUCGCGGGCUUUCACAUCCAGGUCUGAGCGUUGGAGGUCCUUUGGUCAGCAUCGCUAAAGGCGCGGCCGAGCAGGCACAUACGCAGCUGAGUAAUCAGCAGACCGCCGCUGGCCAGGCUGCCUACGUCGCGAAAAAUACUCUGGCUCAAGCGGCUGUUCAAUCGGCCGCCACCGCGGCCGCAGCUCUCACCGGCAAGCAGAUCGUGGUACAGGGAUUGGAGCAGCAGUCGAAAGAUCUGCACACGGCGGUAGAUAACGAGAAGCUGCAACUGCAGCAAGCGGAGCGUGCCGCCGACGCGGCGAGAAGUAGCGCUAAGCAAGCUCUGCAUCAAGUACAAGUGAUCACUGCAGCUUUAAACGCCGCACAGACUACGGCGGAACGGGCGGCGCAAGCUGCGGCGGAGGCCGAGGCUGAAUUGGCCGCUCAGACCAGCAUGGUCGGUCAAGCGAAGGCAAGGGCCGAAUCGCUCGACGAACAACUAUCCGCGGUUCGUUUAGAUUACGAAAGCACCCAAGCAGCCGCUGAAAAAGCCGCGACAGCGGCAGCCGCUGCUCAGAACAACGCUGCGGCCGCAGCCGCCCACGUGGCUGACAGUGCUGCGAACUCUGCCCUCCUCGCGCACGAGCCCGUCGAGGCAGCACCGAUUGCCAAACUGCCCGAACAACCUCUUCAUCGCGAAUCUGCUGUUUUAGAAUCUCCAGGAGCACUCCAUCAAUCCGCCCUUCUCUCGCCCAGUGCACUCCACGAACCCAGCAGCCUGUUGGCAUCCGGUGUACUCCACGAUGCUGAUGGCCUCCGCGGACCGAGCAGGCUUCACGACAUUGCCGGCCUUCGCGCGUCUGACGUUCUCGAAGAAACUGGUGCCCUUCAUUAUCCCAACAGCUUCAAUCAACGUGCACAAUUGUUGAGCUUAGCUAAUGCUUUACCCGCUGACAGUUAUGAUGUCAAAGGUUACCGGUACUAGGUUCCUUGGUUGGACAUUUUAGCGGAAUCUAGUUGUUGCCUCUUUUAUUCAGAAGUACCUUCCUGUCUUCUUCUUCUCUGAUCCUUGGAUGAUACUUCAGAUGCUUUUGGUCAAGUUUGGAAAUAAUAAUAACAGUGUAUACAGAGGUUUCGAACAUCUUUUAUUAACACUGAUAUUCGUUAUAUAAUAUUCAUCUUUUUUUAAAUUUCAUAUUUGGUAAGUGUAAUUAAACUAACAUCGCAAUUUCUCAAUCUCAUCAAUCAUUGCACCGGUUCAAUUGUUAAAUGUACACCUCCUUUUGCCAUUAAUAUCAAAGAUCCUUCCUUCAUUUCCAACGAAGUUGGUGUAUCCGGUGCAAGUUUGAAUUUACUUCUUAAUAAGCUACUUAUUAUAGCAACUUUUGAUUGUAUCAGACCAAAUCUUAAUCCUGUAACAAAACAAA